rnacentral:rRNA from 1 species
UGUAGUCUGCAACUCGACUGCGUGAAGUCGGAAUCGCUAGUAAUCGCGGAUCAGCAUGCCGCGGUGAAUACGUUCCCGGGCCUUGUACACACCGCCCGUCACACCAUGGGAGCCGGGAAUGCCCGAAGUCAGUGGCCCAACCGCAGGGAGGGAGCUGCCGAAGGCAGGCCCGGUGACUGGGGUGAAGUCGUAACAAGGUAGC